GUGGGGAAUCUUGGACAAUGGGCGAAAGCCUGAUCCAGCGACGCCGCGUGGGUGAUGAAGGCCUUCGGGUCGUAAAGCCCUGUGGGCAGGAAAGAAAACGUUGCAGUCGAACAGGCUGCGACCUUGACGGUACCUGCUCAGAAAGCACCGGCUAACUCUGUGCCAGCAGCCGCGGUAAGACAGAGGGUGCGAACGUUGCUCGGAAUUACUGGGCGUAAAGCGCGUGUAGGCCGAUUCGUGUGUCGGGUGUGAAAUCCCUGGGCUCAACCCAGGAACUGCACUCGAAACUGCGAGUCUAGAGUGGUGGAGAGGGUAGUGGAAUUCCUGGUGUAGAGGUGAAAUUCGUAGAUAUCAGGAGGAACACCGGUGGCGAAGGCGGCUACCUGGACACCAACUGACGCUGAGACGCGAAAGCGUGGGGAGCAAACAGGAUUAGAUACCCGGGUAGUCC
rnacentral:rRNA from 1 species